CAGACGUGUGCGCUGCGUGUGCCGUGCCACUGUGAACGUAUCGCACCACGCGUGCUGUGCCGCACCGUACGGCGCAGUGCUACUACACGUGCUGUGCUGCGUGCCGUGCGUGCUCUGCUGUGCCACGUGUGUGCUGUGCCACGUGGGGCCAUGAAUGCCACCACGCGUGCCACGUGUGCAGCAACACAUGUGUCAUACCACACGUGCCGUGUGUGCCCUGCCUGUCACGUGUGCCAUGUGAGCUGUGCCGCGUGUGCCGUGACACCGUGCGUGUGCCGAGCUGCGUGCCGUGUGCCAGGUGCUGUGCGCGUGCCACGCACCAUGUACCGUGCACCGUGCACAUGCCGUGUGCCUGCAUGUGCUGCACGUGUGGGCCGCGGGCCGUGUGCCAUGCACCGUGCGUGUGCCACGCGCCGUGUGCCGUGCAGCGUGUGCGUGCUGUGUGCUGCGUGCCAGGCACCGUGUGCCGUGUGCUGUGCGUGUGCCACGCGUCAUGCAUGUGCUGUGUGUGUGCCGCAUGCCGUGCGCCGUGUGCCAUGCGUGUGCUGCGUGCCGUGUGCCAGGCACCGUGCGUGGGCCAUGUGCCGUGCGUGUGCCGUGUGCCACGCACCGUGCAUGUGCCACGUGCCGCACGCGGUGCACGCCCCCGGCACGCGCUGACCGCGUCCCCCCCAGCUGCCGGCGAUGCUGCGGGUGCGGGACCCGCGGCCGUGGGUGCUGUUCGCGCUGCACAACGCGGGGCUGCUGGGCGGCUGGGGGCUGCUGCUGCUGCUGGCGCUCUACGAGGAGAGCAUCGCGCUCUGACACCGCGGCACCGGCACGGGCACGGACCCACGGACACGGACCCACGGACGGACCCACGGACAGAGCCACGGACACACGGAUGCCCCCCCCCCCAUGCUCCCCCCCCCAGGGUGGGCGAAGGGCACCCGAAAUAAAGCUGCAGAGGGACGGCGCCGGCACCUCCUUGGGGCUGGGGGGCGGGGGGGGUCCGUGGGACACGGGGUGCUGUGGGGCAGGGGGUGCUGUGGGGUGAAGGAGCGCUAUGGGGCACAGGAGCGCUAUGGGGCAGAGGAGCCCUGUGGGGUGCAGGAAUGCUAUGGGGCAGAGGAGCGCUAUGGGGCACAGGGGUGCUAUGGGGCACAGGAGCCCUGUGGGGCACAGCAGCUCUAUAGGGCACAGCCCCCUGGAUGUGGGGCGCCAUGGGGCGCAGCCGUGCUUGGGGUGGGGGCGUUGUGCCCGGGGGCUGCCCCGCUAUGGGGCACGGGGCCCCCGUGGGGGUGCGGCAUGGAGCAGGGGGCCCCAUAGGGUGCCUCUGGGGGGCGGCGGGGCCCAUACGGGCUGUAGGGGACCUGUGGGGUGCAGCCUCUAUAAGGUGCCGGGUCCCUAUGGGGUGUGGGGCCAAUGGGGUGCAGGGCCCCUGUGGGGUGCAGUGGCCAUGGGGUGCAGGGCCCCACAGGGUGCAAGGCCCCCAUAGAGCACAGCCCUAUAGGGGUAGCGGUCCUAUAGGGUGCAGGGUCUAUGGGGCGCAGUCUUCAUGGGGUGUAGACCCCGUA
ensembl:lncRNA